rnacentral:lncRNA from 1 species
CCCCUCCCGCCCUAGGGCUCUUUCCUGGACUGCGGCUGCAGCCUUCUCUUCCCGGAGGGCUCAGAGUUCGUCCCCUUUUCGCGAUUGGGAACGUGGACACGCCGGAGCCUGGAUGCAGAAGGGCGCGCGGGAACAGGGAGCUGGUGCGCGAGCCGCAGCCCAGCGUCCAGGCCGCCCCACUCUCUGCUGAUCCAAAGGACUAGGGAAACCCUGCGCGCCGACGGUGGCCUGGACGUUGGCGCGGGCCCUGGCGCUAAAAAACGGAUCCCAUUUCCAGAAAGGCGGGCCGGGUAUCCCGCUCCUGCCUCCUGGAGAAUUAGCUCGGCGGAGGUCGACCAGCCGGGUAGGGAGGGAGGGAUGGAGGGACAGGCCUAGGGUCGACCAGCCGGAUAGGGAGUAGCUUCUGGGAGCUCCCUUGCCUACGGAGGGCCGGUGAGGCUGCCCUCAGAGCGCCGCCAGUUAGCUGCAGCUGAGCCAGAAGCGUCCCCACUGGCUUACCCGAUAGUGGGAUUUUACACGGUGUCGGCUAAGGGUGGCUUUGUGAGAAGACCAUUUCAGAAGAAGAAACGGGGCUCUGGCUGGUGGGGUAGAAACCCCUAUGGAAUGAAAAGUACUCCCAGUCUCUUUGAGGAAGAUUGCAAAGUAAGGUGGGUUGUUUUUCUUUUGUCCCAUCCUUCCCACCCCUUAAAUUAGAAGAAAAGGCCCCCAAGCGUGCAGCACCAGGUGGACGUUUGGAAGCUGCGAGUGGAAUCUCGUUUAAAAACUUCCGGCCCCACGCACACCAAGUAUCCAUCUUCGUCGUAGUUGGGGUGAGGAAGAGUGUGACUUCCCUACCCAGAGUCUGGUUGAGCACGGAUCCCGCCGAGGAGAGAAGGGUCCCGGCCGGGGGGAAGGUCCCUCUUUCUGGGACAAAGCGAUCCUUAAUUGUGGCCACCUUCCAAAGUCCGGGGCGAAUUCGCUACGCGCGUCUGCCCGGGCGGCGCUUGGUGGGUAGUCCCGCUUCCACCAAAACUCUGUGUUUCCUUUCUCUCAAAAUAAAACUCAACAAGCCAUAAAGCUUCCGACGCCGGUGGAGAAGGCGCCGCGGAUUUAUGGCCCCUGAAUUCCCUACUCUCUAAUUAUCCUUGUUUUUACUUGACUUAUGGGUAGUGAC